AGAGUUUGAUUCUGGCUCAGAUUGAACGCUAGCGGCAUGCUUAACACAUGCAAGUCGAACGGCAGCGCGGGGAGCUUGCUCCUGGCGGCGAGUGGCGGACGGGUGAGUAAUGCGUAGGAAUCUACCUUGUAGUGGGGGAUAACCUGGGGAAACUCGGGCUAAUACCGCAUAAUCUCUUUGGAGCAAAGCGNGGGAUCUUCGGACCUCGUGCUAUAAGAUGAGCCUACGUCGGAUUAGCUUGUUGGUGGGGUAAUGGCCUACCAAGGCGACGAUCCGUAGCUGGUCUGAGAGGACGAUCAGCCACACUGGGACUGAGACACGGCCCAGACUCCUACGGGAGGCAGCAGUGGGGAAUAUUGGACAAUGGGGGAAACCCUGAUCCAGCAAUGCCGCGUGUGUGAAGAAGGCCUUCGGGUUGUAAAGCACUUUCGGUGGGGAAGAAAUUCUCAAGGGUAAUAUCCUUGGGCGUUGACGUUACCCACAGAAGAAGCACUGGCUAACUCUGUGCCAGCAGCCGCGGUAAUACAGAGAGUGCAAGCUUUAAUCGGAAUCACUGGGCGUAAAGCGCGCGUAGGUGGAUAUCUAAGUCGGAUGUGAAAGCCCUGGGCUUAACCUGGGAAUUGCACCCGAUACUGGGUAUCUUGAGUAUGGUAGAGGGAAGUGGAAUUUCCGGUGUAGCGGUGAAAUGCGUAGAUAUCGGAAAGAACA
rnacentral:rRNA from 1 species